AUUAUAUUUCUCACUCUGUUUUGUUCUUUCCUUCAGUAAAUUCCUUUAUAUGCAGAUUUAAGGUGUACAUAUACCCCAGGUUACCUGCUGCUGAGAUUCUGCCUCAAGUCACUUGCCAGCCCACUGUUUGAUGCCCUUGGGUAAGGUGUUCACACUUG
rnacentral:lncRNA from 1 species